ensembl:lncRNA
ACUGAAGAGCCUGAGUGAAAUCCCAGCCCAUUGCAUCCAAUCGUGAGACUCCCAUUAACUUCAUUAGCGCAGGAGUUUUGCCGCUGCACUCAGCAUGAAGUGAAAUCAAUGCGGCGCAAGGCAGCGGGAUGUGUAACAACAGAGAUGCUUGGUUGUCUUAUCUGCAGCUGGAGUGCCCGAGCCUCGGCUAUUUUCACUGAUGAAGUUUCAUGCUGCCACAUCCUCUGAUACACGGGAACAGUGGAAGUAUGAGUGAAUUAUUCACUGCUACAGCUGCUCGUUUUGUGCAGAGAGGAACUCUGGAGUGCUACCUCGUAGGGGCUUUGCAUCCAAAAUAGCCCCCUCUGCAGUUUUCCUCCUCAUCCAGAAGUGGCUAUAUGUAAGACACGGCAGAUAGCUGGCAUACAGGAAGUGUUAUUCAGCUUUCAUUCCAUACACAGACAGAAGAAAGAACAAAGCAAGGGUUAAAAAUAAGAAAUUUGGAGGAAAAGAAACUUCGAGGAAAGAAAUGAGCUGUACCCAUCCAGCUGUGCUAUCUGCUGCCCUGUCGGCAGGGAAUGAUGUAUUUUUGAGAAGGACGCGUGUGUAAAGAAACAGCGAUUGAAAACACAUGCGAAUGGAAAGGGAUUUUACCCAGCUCUCCCUCAGCCUGAGAAGAAAGCUGUCCAUUGCACUAAUUGCCACGCGAGCCCCAGAACUGUGUGGCGCUGCCAGGCUCUGAUCCCUCCCUGGAGAGCAGAGACGAAUGCAGAAGGACGGCGUGGGAGGUCAGGGGCAGCCAGCAAGAUCUUGCAGUCUCACAGUCUUUGGAUUUGCAGUAGCUAUAGAUGCUCACUUGAUGCUACGGCUGUCAGCACCAUGGACUUCCCUGCCUCCAGGAUGCAUGCAGUUGCCCAAAGGACUCUGGAGGGAUAUAUAUUAUAUAUAUACAAGAUAUACAUCACGGUCUAUAUUACAGCUGAAGGCAGAAAGAAAGUGUAAUGUCAACUGGGCUGGAUCAGAAUGUCAACAGGAAGGAUCAUGGCACAUCAGAGCAACCAUGUGGUGCUCGGAGAUGGCAUUUCAGCUCGCCCAUCACUGCGCAUGGAAUUAAACCAGGAGAAGCCUUUUGGUGGCUCCAGCAGGUGCCUGCAGCACUGAGCACUGCCCAGCUGCAGACAGUUCCCCCCACGUGCCUAUUGCUGCCCCCGCCAUGGAGCCCCAGCUUCAUUCACGUCUUUAAACAGGAGGUGGCAGAGGCAGCUCAGUGCCCUGGAAGGUCAGGUCAGGCUUCAGGGCCUCCAGCUGCCUGAAAGCUGAACAGAAAUGAAAAGCUGUUGGUUAAGGAGAGAGCGCCUCGGGCUUCCCGCUGAGCCUGGCUGCAGCCCUUUAAUUAGGGUAAGCUAAUUACAUCUGACGGAGGAAAAGAGGCUGUCAAGUAACAUGGGAGGAACUCUUUUUGAUUCAGCAGAGAACAUUUUAACUGCAGGAGCCUCGCAGGCUGACAGGAAGCUGGUGUGUCUGGGAUCAGGAUGUACCAUCUCCUCGGGACCAUUCCCUCCCCGCUGGGGACAAGUCCCUUGUGGGAGCAACCUGUAUCCCACCCGCUGCCUGGGUCUGCAUCUGGAAUCAACCAACUGGGUUAUUUCAUAGGAUCAUUAAGGUUGGAAAAGCCCACUAAGAUCACCUGGUCUAAGCUUCAGCCCAUCGAUCAGUAUUUGCUUAUCAAACGUGGGGCUGGGGCUGAGCUUUUCAGAAGGAGCUGGCAGGGUGCUAAGGGCACCUCAGCCCCGUCUAGACCCAAGGGCCUGGGCUCCUCGGUUCCCAGGGUCAUCCUUGGCAAGCCCAAACCUCCCCGCCCUUCCUGCUGCUGAGAAGCUGGCUCAUUCUACCUGCCUGUGAGUUGUUUCCUAAAGCAGCCAAAUAAUUGCAGUGUCGCAGAAAAACCUACAGCCCUUAAACCCCAACAAAGUGGGGUUUGAAGAGCUGGCGAUCACAGAUAGUUAACUAACGAGUGUUUACAGUGCCUGAUGAUAGUUGCUGGCACUAGGACAAGGGCAGUAAAAAGUGGAUUAGAUGAAGAUAAAUGUGAGACACAGGCAGAAACAAGUACUCCAGCAGAUGUGUGUGGAAAUUAAUGGGGUGGUGAUAAUAACAAAUUCUGAUUCGCCACACAGUAAAUGUGUCUCCUGAUAAUCAGUUUCUAGUACAAUACCAAGCUCCUAUGCAUGAAUCAGAAAUCCAAAUGAGAUGACAUCUCAGCAUUGAAAAUGCUUUGGGUAGAUACUGAAGAUCUUAAAGAAGACAGCUGGGAAAGUGGUGCUUAUUUUGUCCACUGCGGUCUUUCCACCCCCUCAAUAUUUUAUCUUUGAUCAUAGCAGAUCUGUGAUCCGGCCUCUUUACAAACACCAGGGGAUCUGUGGUCCAUGUUCUGCAACAGAGAUCCAUCUGAAGCAGAGCUGUGAGUCCCUGCAGUCCCAGUCGGCUCACUCAUCCACUGAGCUGGGACAGGAGAGCUCUCACAUGGCACAAUGCUUGGCCAGAUGUGUUGUUAGACUUCAUGUGUUUAUGUUUGUAAAGAGAAAAUAGGAUGAAAGGCAUUACAAAAAUGCAAAAUAUGAUUUGUUAUGAUUUAAAAGCCAUUCAGUUGUAUCAGUACUAUUUAAAAAUAUUUCCACCUUGCAGACCUUUCCAGAUAAGGAUUCCUGCCCAUCUUUUCCAGUCCCAUUUUUUAAAGAAACAGAGAAGUUUGCAACCCUUUGGACAACGUCUCUUUGCUUUGCCCACGCCAUGACGUGCUUCCCACAAAAACAAUGUCAGAGUGCUUUCCUCAUCACAGAAUCACAGAAUCACAAGGGUUGGAAGGGAGAUAGUUGGAGAUAAUUGAGUCCAGCACCCUGCUAAAGAAGGUUGCUCAGGAAGGUGUCCAGGUGGGUCUUGAAUAUCUCCAAAGAAGGAGACCCCAGAAUUGGCAGCCUGUUCCAGUGCUCUGUCACUGUGCUCAUCACUUAGGGGAAAUGAUCUGGAACAGAAAAAGCUUGUAGGCCUUUCUGAUUGUUUUUAACCCAGACCCUUGUCCUGAGUGCAGUGUGAUGGUGUAGGUCUGCAGUGCAGCUUUCUUGGCUGGAAAAUCAUUGAGUACAGACCCACUCAAAAUCACUAAGAACAGACCCAUUCACCUACCCAUCACUCCUUGCUCACUGUUUUCCAUCCCUGAAUCUCACUUUGCUGCUGCCUGCAUUAUGAGCAUAAAAUUAGGAUGCAGCUCUGUAUGCCAAGGCCUCGAAAAGGUCCAGCUUUGCAGUAGGAGUAGUGCUGUCAACACCCUUCCCAGUGCAGCAGAGGUUUGGGCAGUGAAAUUCAGUUUGCAAAGGCCCACGUGUCCAUUUUGCCCAUUUGUGUGGAGUUCCAGCUGUAGCAGGGCUGGGAGAAGAGGAGGAAAGGAAGCUCUGAGACUGAUGUCACUGCUGCGUACUGUGAGAAUGACCCACUUCAUCACCCGCAUUUGGUAUUUCUGGCCCAGUCCCCAGAGUAAGACUGGGUGGGGUGGGAAUAAACCCUAUGGGCAUCACUGAGCACCUGCCAGACACCAGCAAUUUGGGAAACCAGGGAGCACUAAAGACACAGAAAACGGAAUUUAUGGAUUUCUGUGUUCCACCCUAAAACAAACGUGGUAUUUCCAAUGGCAGCCGACACUCCAUGAUCACUGUAUUUGAAGCUUAUAUCGUAACAUUUGGGUUGGGCUUUUUGUGAGAAAGUCUCCUGUACUUGAAAGAUAAAAACCAAAGCCCCACUGCAGCAGAACCAGACCACCAAAUCAAUCACUACAAAGCCAUUAAAUACACUUAUGGAAAAGUUUUCCACAGCAGCACUCCAUGCCCUGGCCCCAGGCUCCCCAGGGCCUGGUAUCCAUGGCAUUUCUCCAUGAAGAUGUGGCUCUAGGAAGGCCUGCCAGCGCCUGGCGAGGGACGGCCGAGCCCAGCUGAACGUGUGUAUUUUCCCCGUCACCGCCCCUUCUGCACAUGACCUGUUAAAAGGAUUAAAUUAAAAGAAUUCCCAGAGCUAAUCUAGUGAUGAUAUUAUGAGAGACAGGAGCUCAAGCGCAUCCCGGGGAUGUCUGAUCGGGUUGUCUAGGAUGUAUUAUUUAUGGGGCCAUCUGCUUUAGACAGGGAUUGAAGUCUGAGCGGGAGGAGGGUUUUGAUGGAGUUCAGCAGCUUUACUGGGACAAGGGGGUUGUAGAGUAUUCCCUCCCCAGAAAAUAAAUGCAGAUGUAGGCGUUUGUGGAAUAAAUCUGGCACCAGAGUACCCGUGUGUUGGUGCCUUCACUAAAAUACUGCGCGGCCUGCAGAGCCCUCAGGAGCCCCCGCAGAAGGGACGUUGGCAGUGCAGUGUUUUAGCAGGAGGGAGAGAGCUGCACAACGUCAGGGCUCCAGCCGGAGUUAUUGGUACACAGGCUGAGAAAUGCAAUGGCAUAAACAGAUCUGCGGCUGGAAUGUGAGGAGGCAGCGGGGGCAGCCAACAGAGGCCGCGUCCGCAGGAAGACAGGAAGAAUUUCCUCAAAAUAGCCUGUUCAGUUACUGGGCAGCCCAGUAAAUGUGGGAUCUGUGUACAGCUAUUACAGGCAACGCGGAGCCAAAUCGCAAACGUGAAAAAUAAACUGUCUCUCUUUCUGAUUUAGGCUGACGUGCCAUUUAAAUAAUAUGGGCCAAGAAAUGUGAAAUAAGAUAUCUCAAUGAGCGGGACGUGUGUCCCUUCCCUUCCUGCCCAUCUCCUGCGGUGCCAGAAGCACGCUGGCUUUUUUUUCCCCAUCACAGUUGCCUCAUCAGAUUUCUAACUGUCAGUGUGCCCCCAGGCUAACAGUGUCCGUGUGUUUCUUGGUGAUCAGGAAUGAAACUUAUCCCAAAGCUUUGGUAGGGGAGGUGCUGCUAAACCUUUACAUGGAAAUUUGCUGGAAGCUACCUGUCAGCUUGCUGCCCAUUCUCCAGUAAUUCAGACUAAUGACUCGUCAGCUCCUUUUUUCCUUACUUUUACAUCUGUCUAGAAGUCGUUUCUGCUCCAGUUGCCGGCUUAAUAACACAAUGCUAUCUACCAAGGAAAGUCUCACCCAGUCGUACUUGAUUUGUCUCAUGAUGGUGCUCAUAAUCCUUAUUUAAUUAGUUAUUAGCAAAAAAAAAAAAACCCCAAAAACAAACAAACAAAAAAACUCUGGGCAACUGGUUCCAGUGCUUGGACUACAACUGGAGCAUUGCUUAAGAACUGUUGUUUCACACAGGAAACUUUGAUUGUGAAAAUGCAGGAACAGGUCACAGACUACAGAAAAGUCUGGUGUGUGCAAAACCAGAAAUACAUUCAUGCAGCAUUCAUCUUUAUCUGCAGUUUGGGAUUCUGUAUGGCAGAAUGUAUCUCCCUGCUUUGCUACCUGUCUGUGAUUUGUCUAAAC